GACGAACGCUGGCGGCGUGCUUAACACAUGCAGGUCGAACGGAAGGGCCCUGCUUUUGUGGGGUGCUCGAGUGGCGAACGGGUGAGUAACACGUGAGUAACCUGCCCUUGACUUUGGGAUAACUUCAGGAAACUGGGGCUAAUACCGGAUAGGAGCUCCUGCUGCAUGGUGGGGGUUGGAAAGUUUCGGCGGUUGGGGAUGGACUCGCGGCUUAUCAGCUUGUUGGUGGGGUAGUGGCUUACCAAGGCUUUGACGGGUAGCCGGCCUGAGAGGGUGACCGGCCACAUUGGGACUGAGAUACGGACCAGACUCCUACGGGAGGCAGCAGUGGGGAAUAUUGCACAAUGGGCGGAAGCCUGAUGCAGCAACGCCGCGUGCGGGAUGACGGCCUUCGGGUUGUAAACCGCUUUCGCCUGUGACGAAGCGUGAGUGACGGUAAUGGGUAAAGAAGCACCGGCUAACUACGUG
rnacentral:rRNA from 1 species